AUGAGAUUUCUUUCUACGGAUAUGAAGGAUAGAAAUAUGCUAUUUGCUGCUAUUCCAUCUAUUUGUGCAUCAAGUCCGAAGAAGAUCUCAAUCUAUAAUGAAGAAAUGAUAGUAGCUCGUUGUUUUAUAGGCUUUCUCAUAUUCAGUCGGAAGAGUUUAGGUAAGACUUUCAAAGAAACUCUCGACGGGAGAAUCGAGUCUAUUCAGGAAGAAUUGCUGCAAUUCUUCAAUCCUAACGAAGUAAUUCCGGAGGAAUCCAAUGAACAACAACGAUUACUUAGGAUCAGCUUGCGAAUUUGCAGCACCGUAGUAGAAUCAUUACCAACGGCACGCUGUGCGCCUAAGUGCGAAAAGACAGUGCAAGCUUUGUUAUGCCGAAACCUAAAUGUAAAGUCAGCA
rnacentral:rRNA from 1 species